AUUGAACGCUGGCGGCAGGCCUAACACAUGCAAGUCGAGCGGAUGAAGGGAGCUUGCUCCUGGAUUCAGCGGCGGACGGGUGAGUAAUGCCUAGGAAUCUGCCUGGUAGUGGGGGAUAACGUCCGGAAACGGGCGCUAAUACCGCAUACGUCCUGAGGGAGAAAGUGGGGGAUCUUCGGACCUCACGCUAUCAGAUGAGCCUAGGUCGGAUUAGCUAGUUGGUGGGGUAAAGGCCUACCAAGGCGACGAUCCGUAACUGGUCUGAGAGGAUGAUCAGUCAAAAUGGAACUUGGAACAGGGUCAGACCCCUACGGGGAGGCGCAGGUGGGAAUUUUUGGCCAUGGGCGGAAGCCUUGUCCCAGCAUGGCCGGGUGGUGAAAAAGGGCUUCCGGUUGGAAAGCCCCUUAAGGUGGGGGGAAGGGCAGUAAGGUAAUAACUUGCUGGUUUGACGGUUCCAACAGAAUAAGGACCGGCUAACUUCGUG
rnacentral:rRNA from 1 species